rnacentral:tRNA from 1 species
GGUGGGUUGCAAGCAGGCGGAACGGCAACGCCCUGUAAAUCCGUCGCGAAAGCUACAGAGGUUCGAAUCCUCUACCCGCCACCA